rnacentral:rRNA from 1 species
UACGUAGGGUGCGAGCGUUAAUCGGAAUUAUUGGGCGUAAAGCGUGCGCAGGCGGCUUUGUAAGUCAGAUGUGAAAUCUCCGGGCUUAACCUGGGAAUGGCAUUUGGGACUGCAAAGCUUGAGUGCGGCAGAGGGGACUGGAAUUCCUGGUGUAGCAGUGAAAUGCGUAGAGAUCAGGAGGAAUACCGAUGGCGAAGGCAGGUCCCUGGGCUGACACUGACGCUCAUGCACGAAAGCGUGGGGAGCAAACAGG